CUCAGUAUAAUAUUGUGCCCUGUACUCAUCCAGGCCAAGUUUGAGGUCUGUCCCAUGUGUAUGGUAUAUAUUCCUAAAGAAGCUGAUUCUUUGUUUCCUUAUUAUAAAACAGAGUGAUGGUAGCUACCUUUCAUGUCUAUGAUGAGUUCAGGUGAGAUUCCUUUAUGUACAAAAGCAAUCAGUUACCAUCAUCAUUAUCAUUUGUUAUGUAUUUCCAGAGCCAUGGGAGAAAGACCUACUCUGAUUUCACUGAUGCCAGUGUGGACAAAGCUGCCCAUGACCUCAGGGGAACUUCAUCAAUGGCCAUAGAGAAUGGCCCCAUGGGAAAGGACUUUAAGGUUACACUAUUGUUCGCCCGUGAGAACCUGCCUACCCCUUGUCAAGUCCCCAGCACAGGCCAUACCAUUUUUACACUUCGAGAGAGUUCCAGUUCCUUCCUCCUGGAAGCCUGUGAGUGGAACCAAUCUGCAAGACAUGCUCUCUUGUGGUGG
rnacentral:lncRNA from 1 species